GGUAGGUUGGCAGAGCGGUUUAUUGCACCAGCCUUAGAAACUGGCGGGGUUUCGCAUCCCCCAAGGGUUCGAAUCCCUUACCUACCGCCA
rnacentral:tRNA from 3 species